rnacentral:rRNA from 1 species
GAUAAACGCUGGCGGCGUGCCUAACACAUGCAAGUCGAACGCCCUUUUGCGCAAGUGAGAGGGAGUGGCGGACGGGUGAGUACCACGUGGGUACCUACCUUGAGGUGAGGAAUACCACCGAGAAAUCGGUGACAAGACCGCAUACGCUUGGCAACAAGCAAAGUCUCGCAAGAGACGCCACAAGAUGGGCCUGCGCCUGAUUAGCUAGUUGGUGAGGUAAUGGCNCACCAAGGCGACGAUCAGUAGCUGGUCUGAGAGGAUGAUCAGCCACACUGGGAUUGAGAACGGCCCAGACUCCGUAACGGGGGCGA